UCCUACGGGGCGCAGCAGUCGGGAAUAUUGCACAAUGGAGGAAACUCUGAUGCAGUGACACCGCGUAUAGGAAGAAGGUUUUCGGAUUGUAAACUAUUUUAGACAGGGAAGAAAAAAGACAGUACCUGUAGAAUAAGCUCCGGCUAACUACGUGCCAGCAGCCGCGGUAAUACGUAGGUGACAAGCGUUGUCCGGAUUUACUGGGUGUAAAGGGCGCGUAGGCGGGAUAGCAAGUCAGUCGUGAAAUGCCGAGGCUUAACCUCGGAGCUGCGAUUGAAACUGUUAUUCUUGAGUAUCGGAGAGGA
rnacentral:rRNA from 1 species